AGGAAAGUAGCUCAAUUGGUAGAGUGUCGGUCUCCAAAACCGAAGGUUGCAGGUUCGAGUCCUGUCUUUCUUGCCA
rnacentral:tRNA from 1 species